rnacentral:rRNA from 1 species
GACGAACGCUGGCGGCGUGCCUAACACAUGCAAGUUGAGCGACGAACCAGGGCUUGCCCUGGGGCAAAGCAGCGAACGGGUGAGUAACACGUGGGUAACCUACCCCGAUAACCGGGACAACCCGAGGAAACUCGGGCUAAUACCGGAUGUGCUCACUGGACUUCGGUUCAGUGCGUAAAGGAAGCUUCGGCCUCCGUAUCGGGAGGGGCCCGCGGCCCAUCAGUUUGUUGGUGAGGUAACGGCUCACCAAGACCGCGAUGGGUAGCUGGUCUGAGAGGACGAUCAGCCACACUGGGACUGAGACACGGCCCAGACUCCUACGGGAGGCAGCAGUGGGGAAUCUUGCGCAAUGCGCGAAAGCGUGACGCAGCAACGCCGCGUGGGGGAAGAAGGCCUUCGGGUUGUAAACCCCUUUCAGGAGGGACGAAGGUUCGGCGGUGAAUAGCCGUCCGGACUGACGGCACCUCCACAAGAAGCCCCGGCUAACUACGUG